rnacentral:rRNA from 1 species
UUGCACAAGACUGAAUCUGGAUCACCAUCUAGUGGCAGACGGGUGAGUAACACGUGGGUGACCUACCUUUCGUUGGGGAUAACAGUUGGAAACGAUUGCUAAUACCGAAUAAAAUAUAAAAGCCAAUUUUAUAUUGAAAGGAGCCUUUAAAGCUUCGCGAUUAGAUGGGCCUGCGGCGUAUUAACUUGUUGGUGAGGUAAUGGCUUACCAAGGCGACGAUGCGUAGCCGGACUGAGAGGAUGAACGGCCACACUGGAACUGAGACACGGUCCAGACUCC